rnacentral:rRNA from 2 species
GCAACGCCGCGUGAGUGAAGAAGGGUUUCGGCUCGUAAAACUCUGUUGUUAAAGAAGAACAUAUCUGAGAGUAACUGUUCAGGUAUUGACGGUAUUUAACCAGAAAGCCACGGCUAACUACGUGCCAGCAGCCGCGGUAAUACGUAGGUGGCAAGCGUUGUCCGGAUUUAUUGGGCGUAAAGCGAGCGCAGGCGGUUUUUUAAGUCUGAUGUGAAAGCCUUCGGCUCAACCGAAGAAGUGCAUCGGAAACUGGGAAACUUGAGUGCAGAAGAGGACAGUGGAACUCCAUGUGUAGCGGUGAAAUGCGUAGAUAUAUGGAAGAACACCAGUGGCGAAGGCGGCUGUCUGGUCUGUAACUGACGCUGAGGCUCGAAAGUAUGGGUAGCAAACAGGAUUAGAUACCCUGGUAGUCCAUACCGUAAACGAUGAAUGCUAAGUGUUGGAGGGUUUCCGCCCUUCAGUGCUGCAGCUAACGCAUUAAGCAUUCCGCCUGGGGAGUACGGCCGCAAGGCUGAAACUCAAAGGAAUUGACGGGGGCCCGCACAAGCGGUGGAGCAUGUGGUUUAAUUCGAAGCUACGCGAAGAACCUUACCAGGUCUUGACAUACUAUGCAAAUCUAAGAGAUUAGACGUUCCCUUCGGGGACAUGGAUACAGGUGGUGCAUGGUUGUCGUCAGCUCGUGUCGUGAGAUGUUGGGUUAAGUCCCGCAACGAGCGCAACUCU